rnacentral:rRNA from 1 species
GCGUUAUCCGGAAUUAUUGGGCGUAAAGGGCUCGUAGGCGGUUCGUCGCGUCCGGUGUGAAAGUCCAUCGCUUAACGGUGGAUCCGCGCCGGGUACGGGCGGGCUUGAGUGCGGUAGGGGAGACUGGAAUUCCCGGUGUAACGGUGGAAUGUGUAGAUAUCGGGAAGAACACCAAUGGCGAAGGCAGGUCUCUGGGCCGUAACUGACGCUGAGGAGCGAAAGCGUGGGGAACGAACAGGAUUAGAU